rnacentral:rRNA from 1 species
UACGGAAGGCAGCAGUGGGGAAUAUUGCACAAUGGGCGCAAGCCUGAUGCAGCCAUGCCGCGUGUAUGAAGAAGGCCUUCGGGUUGUAAAGUACUUUCAGUCGUGAGGAAGGUGUUAAGGUUAAUAACCUUAGCAAUUGACGUUAGCGACAGAAGAAGCACCGGCUAACUCCGUGCCAGCAGCCGCGGUAAUACGGAGGGUGCGAGCGUUAAUCGGAAUUACUGGGCGUAAAGGGCACGCAGGCGGUUAAUUAAGUUGGAUGUGAAAUCCCCGGGCUUAACCUGGGAAUGGCAUUCAAGACUGGUUAGCUAGAGUCUUGUAGAGGGGGUAGAAUUCCAUGUGUAGCGGUGAAAUGCGUAGAGAUGUGGGAGGAAUACCGGUGGCGAAGGCGGCCCCUGGACAAAGACUGACGCUCAUGUGCGAAAGCGGUGGGGAGCAAACAGGGAUUAGAUACC